rnacentral:tRNA from 1 species
GGUUGUGGCUCAGUGGUAAAGUGCUUGCCUAACAUGCACAAGGCACUGGGUUUGAUUCCCGGCACCA